rfam:Cuculus canorus isolate BGI_N303 unplaced genomic scaffold scaffold244, whole genome shotgun sequence.
AAAAGGCUGUGAUGAUGACAGCAUAGUUCAGCAGACAAUCCGUGGUGAAAAUGCUGUGACUGUCUUUCGCUCCUAUCUGAUGCAGCCUCCU